CUCCAACCCACGGACCACGACCUGAGCUGAAGUCAGACACUUAACUUACUGAGCCACCCAGCAUAGUUUAAAGAAGUCUGAUAAAUGGUAUGAGAAAGGAGUCCAGUGUUAGAGACCAAAGGGAUGCGUCCAGAAGAAAAACAAAUGUGGGCUCAGAGCAUCAACUAUGUAACUCAGUCACAGCACCGGAUAAUUCAUUGAUGACUGCACCUCUCUGGGGGAAAGUAUUUUCAGUGAUAUCCCUUGAAAGAGACAAGAAAUCCUUACAGAACGAUGACAAACCUGGAUUGAAAUUCCAACUUUGUUAUUUGCUACAAAUGUACUGUGAUUCUCAAUUUCUUUAUAAUAAAAUGAUGAGUGUAUCAAC